CUGCCCUCAAGCACGGCUUGUGUGUUGGGUGCGGUCCCCCCGGGGGCCUGCCCGAAAGGCAGCGGCGACGUCCGUCUGGUCCUCGAGCGUAUGGGGCUUUGUCACUCGCUCGGGAAGGACCUGCGGAGGUUGGUCACCACCAUAUUUUACCAC
rnacentral:misc_RNA from 1 species